rnacentral:rRNA from 1 species
UGAGGAAUAUUGCUCAAUGGGCGAAAGCCUGAAGCAGCAACGCCGCGUGCGCGAUGAAGGUCUUCGGAUCGUAAAGCGCUUUUGAGAGGGACGAGAUAGGACGGUACCUCUUGAAUAAGUCACGGCUAACUACGUGCCAGCAGCCGCGGUAAAACGUAGGUGGCAAGCGUUAUCCGGAUUCACUGGGCGUAGAGCGCGUGCAGGUGGCUUCGUAAGUUGGACGUUAAAUCUUUCGGCCUAACCGGGAGGUGUCGUUCAAUACUGCGGGGCUUGAGGGUAGAAGAGGGGGGUGGAAUUGCCGGUGUAGUGGUGAAAUGCGUAGAUAUCGGCAGGAACACCUGUGGCGAAAGCGGCCCCCUGGUCUGCUCCUGACACUCAGACGCGAAAGCUAGGGGAGUGAACG